rnacentral:rRNA from 1 species
UACGUAGGGUGCGAGCGUUGUCCGGAAUUAUUGGGCGUAAAGAGCUUGUAGGCGGUUCGUUGUGUCCGAUGUGAAAGCCCCGGGCUUAACCUGGGAAUGGCAUUGGAAACUGGCGAGCUUGAGUGCGGCAGAGGGGGGUGGAAUUCCGCGUGUAGCAGUGAAAUGCGUAGAGAUGCGGAGGAACACCGAUGGCGAAGGCAGCCCCCUGGGUCGACACUGACGCUCAGGCACGAAAGCGUGGGGAGCAAACAGG